UGACAGUACUCCUACGGGGAGGCAGCAGUGGGGGAAUAGUUGCACAAUGGGCGCAAGCCUGAUGCAGCCAUGCCGCGUGUGUGAAGAAGGCCUUCGGGUUGUAAAGCACUUUCAGUCGUGAGGAAGGUAGUGUAGUUAAUAGCUGCAUUAUUUGACGUUAGCGACAGAAGAAGCACCGGCUAACUCCGUGCCAGCAGCCGCGGUAAUACGGAGGGUGCGAGCGUUAAUCGGAAUUACUGGGCGUAAAGCGCAUGCAGGUGGUUUGUUAAGUCAGAUGUGAAAGCCCGGGGCUCAACCUCGGAAUAGCAUUUGAAACUGGCAGACUAGAGUACUGUAGAGGGGGGUAGGAAUUUCAGGUGUAGCGGUGAAAUGCGUAGAGAUCUGAAGGAAUACCGGUGGCGAAGGCGGCCCCCUGGACAGAUACUGACACUCAGAUGCGAAAGCGUGGGGAGCAAACAGGAUUAGAUACCCUGGUAG
rnacentral:rRNA from 1 species